UGGGGAAUAUUGGACAAUGGGCGAAAGCCUGAUCCAGCCAUGCCGCGUGAGUGAUGAAGGCCCUAGGGUUGUAAAGCUCUUUUGUGCGGGAAGAUAAUGACGGUACCGCAAGAAUAAGCCCCGGCUAACUUCGUGCCAGCAGCCGCGGUAAUACGAAGGGGGCUAGCGUUGCUCGGAAUCACUGGGCGUAAAGGGUGCGUAGGCGGGUUUCUAAGUCAGAGGUGAAAGCCUGGAGCUCAACUCCAGAACUGCCUUUGAUACUGGAAGUCUUGCGUUCGGGAGAGGUGAGUGGAACUGCGAGUGUAGAGGUGAAAUUCGUAGAUAUUCGCAAGAACACCAGUGGCGAAGGCGGCUCACUGGCCCGAUACUGACGCUGAGGCACGAAAGCGUGGGGAGCAAACA
rnacentral:rRNA from 1 species